rnacentral:rRNA from 1 species
AGAGUUUGAUCCUGGCUCAGAUUGAACGCUGGCGGCAUGCUUUACACAUGCAAGUCGGACGGCAGCACAGGGAAGCUUGCUUCUCGGGUGGCGAGUGGCGAACGGGUGAGUAACAUAUCGGAACGUACCGGGUAGCGGGGGAUAACUGAUCGAAAGAUCAGCUAAUACCGCAUACGUCUUGAGAGGGAAAGCAGGGGACCUUCGGGCCUUGCGCUAUCCGAGCGGCCGAUAUCUGAUUAGCUGGUUGGCGGGGUAAAGGCCCACCAAGGCGACGAUCAGUAGCGGGUCUGAGAGGAUGAUCCGCCACACUGGGACUGAGACACGGCCCAGACUCCUACGGGAGGCAGCAGUGGGGAAUUUUGGACAAUGGGCGCAAGCCUGAUCCAGCCAUGCCGCGUGUCUGAAGAAGGCCUUCGGGUUGUAAAGGACUUUUGUCAGGGAAGAAAAGGCCGUUGCCAAUAUCGGCGGCCGAUGACGGUACCUGAAGAAUAAGCACCGGCUAACUACGUGCCAGCAGCCGCGGUAAUACGUAGGGUGCGAGCGUUAAUCGGAAUUACUGGGCGUAAAGCGGGCGCAGACGGUUACUUAAGCAGGAUGUGAAAUCCCCGGGCUCAACCCGGGAACUGCGUUCUGAACUGGGUGACUCGAGUGUGUCAGAGGGAGGUGGAAUUCCACGUGUAGCAGUGAAAUGCGUAGAGAUGUGGAGGAAUACCGAUGGCGAAGGCAGCCUCCUGGGAUAACACUGACGUUCAUGUCCGAAAGCGUGGGUAGCAAACAGGAUUAGAUACCCUGGUAGUCCACGCCCUAAACGAUGUCAAUUAGCUGUUGGGCAACUUGAUUGCUUGGUAGCGUAGCUAACGCGUGAAAUUGACCGCCUGGGGAGUACGGUCGCAAGAUUAAAACUCAAAGGAAUUGACGGGGACCUGCACAAGCGGUGGAUGAUGUGGAUUAAUUCGAUGCAACGCGAAGAACCUUACCUGGUUUUGACAUGUGCGGAAUCCUCCGGAGACGGAGGAGUGCCUUCGGGAGCCGUAACACAGGUGCUGCAUGGCUGUCGUCAGCUCGUGUCGUGAGAUGUUGGGUUAAGUCCCGCAACGAGCGCAACCCUUGUCAUUAGUUGCCAUCAUUCGGUUGGGCACUCUAAUGAGACUGCCGGUGACAAGCCGGAGGAAGGUGGGGAUGACGUCAAGUCCUCAUGGCCCUUAUGACCAGGGCUUCACACGUCAUACAAUGGUCGGUACAGAGGGUAGCCAAGCCGCGAGGCGGAGCCAAUCUCACAAAACCGAUCGUAGUCCGGAUUGCACUCUGCAACUCGAGUGCAUGAAGUCGGAAUCGCUAGUAAUCGCAGGUCAGCAUACUGCGGUGAAUACGUUCCCGGGUCUUGUACACACCGCCCGUCACACCAUGGGAGUGGGGGAUACCAGAAGUAGGUAGGGUAACCGCAAGGAGCCCGCUUACCACGGUAUGCUUCAUGACUGGGGUGAAGUCGUAACAAGGUAGCCGUAGGGGAACCUGCGGCUGGAUCACCU